rnacentral:rRNA from 1 species
GAUGAACGCUGACAGAAUGCUUAACACAUGCAAGUCUACUUGAAUUUGGGUUUUUAACUUAGGUUUGGGUGGCGGACGGGUGAGUAACGCGUAAAGAACUUGCCUCACAGCUAGGGACAACAUUUGGAAACGAAUGCUAAUACCUAAUAUUAUGAUAAUAGGGCAUCCUAUAAUUAUGAAAGCUAUAAGCGCUGUGAGAGAGCUUUGCGUCCCAUUAGCUAGUUGGAGAGGUAACGGCUCACCAAGGCGAUGAUGGGUAGCCGGCCUGAGAGGGUGAUCGGCCACAAGGGGACUGAGACAGGGCCCUUACUCGUUCGGGAGGCAGGAGUGGGGAAUAUUGGACAAUGCACGAAGAGUCUGAUACAGGAACUCUGUGAGCACGAUGAAGUUUUGCGGGAUGUAAAGUGCUUUCAGUUGGGAAGAACGAAAUGACGGUACCAAGAGAAGAAGUAACGGCUAAUUACGUG